AAUACUGGCCCAAUAACAGAGAUCUUACUGUGUUGCAGCAACGAUGAACCAGCUCUGUCGUCUCAGCUCCUCCUUCGUUCAGCAACGAUGAACCAGCUUGCAUUCAAGUAGCCCUACUCUGUGGUCUUCAAUUCUACGACGGCGAAUCUGAGAGGAUUUGUUGACUACGACGUCGACUUCGGAGGCGGAGGAUUGUCUGGAUAUGGAAGGAAAGUGGGGAAAAAGAUCCAAUUUUUAUUCUUCCUUUACUCAACACCAAUUUUCUUGGUGUUAGAAGAAGACGUCUACCCUGCUUUGCUGUUUAGAAUCAUUCUGGAUCUGUAACUCUCCAUCGUCUCCUCUCAGAUUUCAAAGGAUUUAAGAUCACAUGAGAGCCUGAGUUGUGAUUGCACCAAGUUUGCAGCUUUAGAUGAUCGUUGUCUCCGUUCUUUAAUCCUGGGAGAUUGUGUCGUCCGAGCUUUCAUCAAUAUUUUUGGAAGCUUUGCUAUUUAUUUCGAUACAAACCUUCUCAACUUGGGACAUAAUAAGAGAGAGAGAGAGGUUAGCUUUACAGGAUAUGGUAAGGAAAAACGCCAUUGAAGCCGCUUACAGUUUCAGAUGUGGGAAAAUGCCAAGAAAAAAGAAAAAUAUAAAGGUUGAAGACAAGCAUAAAACCGACAGUAUAUGUGACAUAAUUUCAUAGCAACGUCGCAUUCUAACACCCAUUGUUGGCAAUUGAGUGACAUAGAGAGAAUAUACUUUAAGGUGAACAUCAUACCUGAGCUAAGGCUCAUAUAUCGAAUGAAACAUAACUUUCUUAUCUUUUUUUUUUAAUUUCAUGGUGGAUGAGUAUGAAGUCAGCUGUUAAGUUUGAUUUUAUACUUGCAACUUUUAAGAUUUCCCAGAACUGUUUAUUGUUGUUCUUAGAACUACUUGCAUUGUAUGAAGGGUACUUGACUCAUGUUCAGGGGAGAGUCACCCAUCUAUUUAUAUUCAGGUCCCCAAUCGAGGACAUCUUGAUCAGCCAAGUCAUGUGAGAUCACGGACCUAUAUCAGAGGUUUCUUCUAACUUUUAACGCCUCAGCUUCUGGAUCUUUCUUAGUCUCUCUUGUCCUUCUUCUUCUCAUGCCAUCAACUGCGCUAUCUUUUAUGCUGAUUUAGUUUUCCAUUUCUGGUAACCAUGUAACAUUGUAUUUUUUGAGAUUAUGAUUUGGCUUUCCAGAUGAAGAAGAUUUCCUUCUGGUGUUUAGUCUGAGAGUUCACACUACGGAAAGAAUAUCCUCAACUCCUUGAAUGAUACUUUGAAGAUAGAAGCAAUACAACAUCUAAUAGUCUAUUUGAAGAUCAUAAUACUCUAAAGAGAAUACUAUUUCUAAUGGUUCCAAUCUUCGCAGCGUUGUUUAAUAGUUUUUGUGAAAUUCUUCGCUAUUUUAAUGUCAAGUAGAAUAUUCUCUCGAUUCUAUGCUAUACUUAUGUUUAUA